AUUGAACGCUGGCGGCAGGCCUAACACAUGCAAGUCGAACGGUAGCACAGAGAGCUUGCUCUCGGGUGACGAGUGGCGGACGGGUGAGUAAUGUCUGGGAAACUGCCCGAUGGAGGGGGAUAACUACUGGAAACGGUAGCUAAUACCGCAUAACGUCGCAAGACCAAAGUGGGGGACCUUCGGGCCUCACACCAUCGGAUGUGCCCAGAUGGGAUUAGCUAGUAGGUGGGGUAAUAGCUCACCUAGGCGACGAUCCCUAGCUGGUCUGAGAGGAUGACCAGCAACACUGGAACUGAGACACGGUCCAAACACCUACGGGAGGCAGCAGUGGGUAAUAUUGCACAAUGGGCGCAAGCCUGAUGCAGCCAUGCCGCGUGUAUGAAGAAGGCCUUCGGGUUGUAAAGUACUUUCAGCGGGGAGGAAGGCGGUGAAGUUAAUAGCUUCACCGAUUGACGUUACCCGCAGAAGAAGCACCGGCUAACUCCGUGCCAGCCGCCGCGGUAA
rnacentral:rRNA from 1 species